rnacentral:rRNA from 1 species
ACGAACGCUGGCGGCGUGCUUAACGCAUGCAAGUCGAACGGGCCUGUCUUCUUUUUUGGGGGUGGGUUGAGUGGCGAACGGGUGAGUAUCACGUGAGUAACCUGCCCUUCGGUCCUGGAUAACCGCUUGAAAGGGCGGCUAAUACGGGGUGGUCCGGUUGGUCCGCAUGGGCUGGUCGGGAUAGAUUCACUGUUUUUGGUGUUUCGGCGGGGGAUGGGCUCGCGGCCUAUCAGCUUGUUGGUGGGGUGAUGGCCUACCAAGGCGGUGACGGGUAGCCGGCCUGAGAGGGUGGGCGGCCACACUGGGACUGAGAUACGGCCCAGACUCCUGCGGGAGGCAGCAGUGGGGGGUAUUGCACAAUGGGCGGAAGCCUGAUGCAGCGACGUCGCGUGAGGGAUGGAGGCCUUCGGGUUGUGAACCUCUGUUUCCGGUGGUGAAGGCCCUGUCCGUGUGGUGGGGUUGACGGUAGCCGGGGAUGAAGCGCCGGCUAACUACGUG